rnacentral:rRNA from 1 species
CCUACGGGAGGCAGCAGUGGGGAAUAUUGCACAAUGGGCGAAAGCCUGACGCAGCGACGCCGCGUGAGGGAUGAAGGUCUUCGGAUCGUAAACCUCUGUCAGCAGGGAAGAACGGUCACUGUGCUAAUCAGCAGUGCAUUUACGGUACCUGCAAAGGAAGCACCGGCUAACUCCGUGCCAGCAGCCGCGGUAAUACGGAGGGUGCGAGCGUUAAUCGUAAUUACUGGGCGUAAAGCGCGCGUAGGCGGUAUGUCAAGUCAAGGGUGAAAUCCCCGCGCGCAACGUGGGAACUGCCUUGGAAACUGGCAAACUGGAGUGUGUGAGAGGCUAGUGGAAUUCCAGGUGUAGGAGUGAAAUGCGGAGAUAUCUGGAGGAACAUCAGUGGCGAAGGCGACUAUCUGGCACAUAACUGACGCUGAGGAGCGAAAGCGUGGGUAGCAAACAGGAUUAGAUACCCCUGUAGUC